GAAGAAAGUGACUUCCCCAAAACCCAGCAAAUACUUCCUGACAUCUCAUUGGCAAGAAGCAGUCAAGUGCCCACGCAUAUGACUGGCGCAGGAUGCUGCCAGUCCAGGGACAACACUUCGAGGACCACUGGCUUCAGUGAUCUUGAGCUGGGUACGUGACCACCCAAACCAAUCAAAGGGAAAAAGGAGAGAUGAGGCGGAAGGAGAGGGGUCUCCAUUAUUUUUCGGUCUAUGAUGGUGAAGCCUGACAUUCUGUCCCAGGGCAA